rnacentral:lncRNA from 1 species
AAGCAAACCAAAACAUAUAUACAAAUAAAGAUCCCUCCCAGAACCUGGAAGUCACUAGUACAGAGCUACUAACAAAAUGAGUACAAGUCCCAAAAAUUGACAACAGAGACUGGACUGUCUCGAAAGGUAAAAGACAAGUCUAUAUAUACAGAUGGAGACUGAAAUAGUACAAAACGUCGUGUGCUCACUCCCGUCUCCGGAUCAGUCUGCUCCAAGCUCGAUCAA